rnacentral:lncRNA from 1 species
GGGCUUGGUAUGCACCAUACCCAUGCUUGAUAGAUCCAGGUUAACCCUUGGUUUUUCCAACCUUGCUCUCACGUUACAUUAUGCUCUCUAUUCUUAACGAGGAAUAUGAAAUGAACAGGGAAUGGUUCGGAGUUGGGAGAAUUACUUGUUUUCUAGUAAAAAGCGAGCAUUACUUGUUUUAGGGCGCGCGGUGCUCCAACAAUCGGGCCGUUGGGUCGUCGGCUCC